rnacentral:lncRNA from 1 species
CUAAGUGUUCAUGUAAGAGUUUUACAUUUUUUGAAUCCUUUAAAUCAGAAUUCACUUUUAAGUUCAUUAUCAAGCGUUCGUUUAUCGUUCUUGAGUGUUCAAUACUCGUUUUCUUCGUUCUAAGUCAGAAUUCGACGAUUCUUGAGUCCACGACUCUUUAAUACCUUAACUCAUGUGCUGACAUUUAAAACCAACUUUUCCAAGUCACACAACAACUUUUGACUACUAAUUCGAGAUUUUUACAUUUUUGACGUUUAACGUCUAAUUCCGUAAAAUUCGUCAUAACUUCGUUACUCGUGUUCUAUAUGCCAAAUAAAAUGGAAUACCUCCAUUGAUUCCUUACCUUCAUCCUAACCAAGCAAAAUGCACAUAUCCUAUCAAAUAUGGUUUUCAAUUUGUCCAUCA